rnacentral:tRNA from 1 species
GCCUUUUAAGUAUAUAAAGUACGGCUGUCUUCCAAUCAGUAAGUUUAACUUAAAGUUAAAAAAGGUA